CCCUUGAGUUUGAUCCUGGCUCAGAGCGAACGCUGGCGGCGUGCUUAACACAUGCAAGUCGAACGUGAAAAGGGGCAACCCUGAGUAAAGUGGCGUACGGGUGAGUAACACGUAGGUAAUCUACCCCAAAGUCUGGAAUAACCGGCCGAAAGGCUGGCUAAUACUGGAUAGAGCGACGGAAUCCGUAAGUGGAUUUUUCGGGAAAGGGAGCUCGUAAGAGCCCUCGCUUUAGGAUGAGCCUGCGUCCCAUUAGCUAGUUGGUAGGGUAAUGGCCUACCAAGGCUUUGAUGGGUAGCUGGUCUGAGAGGAUGAUCAGCCACACUGGAACUGAAACACGGUCCAGACUCCUACGGGAGGCAGCAGUGGGGAAUCUUGCGCAAUGGACGAAAGUCUGACGCAGCCACGCCGCGUGAGUGAAGAAGGCCUUCGGGUUGUAAAGCUCUGUCGGACGGGACGAACAUCUAUACAGUUAAGAGCUGGGUAGACUGACGGUACCGUCAAAGGAAGCACCGGCUAACUUCGUGCCAGCAGCCGCGGUAAUACGAGGGGUGCAAGCGUUGCUCGGAAUUAUUGGGCGUAAAGGGUAGGUAGGUGGUCUCGUUUGUCUGGGGUGAAAGCCUUGAGCUUAACUCAAGAAGUGCCCCGGAAACGGCGAGACUAGAGUUCUGGAGAGGGUCGUGGAAU
rnacentral:rRNA from 1 species